UUCGGCGGGGCGAGGGACUGUCCGGCCGGAUGGGGGUGCUGUCACCUGCCGCGGGGAGGGCGCUGUGAGUUCCUGUUAAGGGUGGUGGUGCUGCUACUGCUACCUGCUGCUCUCCCUUGCCUUUGGGCCCAUGGGAAGGCACAGAGCUGAGCUUGCUGCUGGAGAAGGUUUCCCUGUAGCUUUCUUUGCGGCAGGCUGUAUUUAAUUCAUCCUCAGCCCCAACUGACACCACAGAUUCCUCUCCUAAACGUUACUCUAGAAAUGCGAACCUUAUUGAAGUUGUUAGUAUCCUGCUCAGAUGCAGAAGCCAGCACUAGAAGCUAAAAUGGCUGCAAGGAAUGCAAAAAAUGUAUAUAAAGAUACCCUGUGGCUUCAGUUGCUGUGAAAAAAGAAGAAAUGAUAAGGAAGAGCUUCCAGUGUCGUUCAGCAACAUCUCUAAGCGUGACAAAAAUUCUGAAGUACAGGAAUGCAGACCCGCCUGGAGGCUGUGAGAAUAUCGGAGAUUUAAUAUUCACUGGGCAGAGCAAGUGAAGGAGGUGGCAUUUACAGAAGAAAGGAAACCAAUCUGGAUCUGUGGGGGAGGACCUGAGGGAAGGCUGUCAUCCUGAAUCACGAUUGGCACUUCAGGAGGAGAUUUUGACUUUCUACUUUCCUUCUGCAUGAUCUUCAACUUCUUUUCCAACCGUCUGUCGGCCACCUCGUCCCAGCUCUUGGUGACCUUCUCCAAAAGAGCGCACUGUGACUUGGCUGAAGAAGAGUUCUUUGCCCAUUGCAGGAGGGAGUCAGCCCUUCAGCAGCCAUGAAGGUCACGCAGAGCUCGAGCGCUGCCUCCCUGGCAGCCACAGGCCCAGGGAGGGCAGGAGGUAACAGUGGGCCUGGGGUGGUAAUUGUGGCCCUGGGAGGGGGGGCAAAACCCCAGUUUGGGGCAGACAUCUUCCCCCUGGUGAUCUGUGCUGGGUCUGUGCCCUCCUCCUGGCUGUUGAGGGGGAAAUGCCUGCCCUCAGGGGGCAAUAAAUCCCCCUGGGGGGUAAGUGUACGCCUGAGGGGGUAAUAGUGGUGAGGGGGCAGUUCUGGUUAAGCCCUGUGGGGCUGGUGUCCCCAUGGGUUUCUGCCCACGGUGCCUGGGCCGGGGCAAGUGAGGCUGGGGGCAGAUGGGGGCUGUAGGGCAGAUCAGGGGCUCUGGGGGGCAAAUGUGUGGGUAAAGAGGAGGGGUGA